GAUGAACGCUGGCGGCGUGCCUAAUACAUGCAAGUCGAACGCAUUGUGGUUGAAAUGAUAUGAAGAACUUGUUCAGAUUUGAUUUUCAACAUUGCAAUGAGUGGCGAACGGGUGAGUAACACGUGGGAAACCUACCUCUUAGCAGGGGAUAACAUUUGGAAACAAAUGCUAAUACCGUAUAAUAAUUAAAACCGCAUGGUUUUAGUUUAAAAGAUGGUCUUGCUAUCACUAAGAGAUGGUCCCGCGGUGUAUUAGUUAGUUGGGUGAGGGUAAUGGCUCACCAAGACAAUGAUACAUAGCCGAGUUGAGAGACUGACCGGCCACAAUGGGACUGAGACACGGCCCAUACUCCUACGGGAGGCAGCAGUAGGGAAUCUUCCACAAUGGACGAAAGUCUGAUGGAGCAACGCCGCGUGUGUGAUGAAGGUUUCGGCUC
rnacentral:rRNA from 1 species